UUUUGCCUAAGUUUACAUACUUUCCCCUUAAUUUUCGCUAUUUUCCCUUAAUUUUUAAGAUAUUCCUCAAGUAUUAUCCACAAAACAAAAUGCCCUUAUGUUUUGCCUUAAGUCGGCAUUUUCGCCUUAACUUUUAAGGAACCUCCGGAGGACCCUUAAAUAUUAAGGAAAAAACUAACGUAGCGUCCAUUUUAACGCGGAAUCCUGUUUUCAAGGAGAGAAGUUAGAAAAUCAUCACAAUCGGUGGGUGUAUCUUAUUUCUUUUGAUAAAUUUAUCGAUAGUGCAGUUGAUUUAAAUAGUAAUUGUUUCUACCCGUUUAUAUUUGUUAGCGAGACAGGAAGUUGCAAUGUUUACUUCCGUAUGUAAAAAAAUAAGGAAUUGAUCGAGGAAGUUUUCGCACGUUGGUUUCAAGCUGUUAUUUUGUUAUACAAAUGUAAACACUGAUUUAAAAGCAGUUGAUGUGAAGUGUUUUUGUGUUUAUGAAAGAAUCAUACUUGUUUGUUUGAGUCAGUAACGAGGAAAAUCCGGAAAUGUUGAAUUGGGUUUACGGUCAUUUCGUAGCAUAGCCGUUUCGUACUCGUAGCUAAGCAUUUUCAGUUAUUUCGUAAUCAUUAAUCGAUCAUUUUGUAACCAAAUCGGUUAUUUUUGUAACCAGUAAUUAAAACUGAUUGUGUUUUCUAUUAUCAAUUCAAUUGCCAUUUUUAACGUUAUGUUACAAAAUGACAGACGCCCAAUCCCCCCAUUGUAUUGAAUUUGGAGAUGAAAAAACAACAUUGUCGUUUCGGAAUAUCCGGUCACCAAGAUGAUACUGUAUGAAAUAAAAGUUACAAAUCUUGCUGGGCUUAAUCUAUACUAUAUCGGGACGAACACUGUUCCAGUAUUUGUAUGUACUUUGCCUUGCAAGAUAAUGAAAAUCAAUCCAUAAAUGGCAGGAUAUAUUUGAUGGUAAGUUACUUUUCUACCAUAUAGCAAUUCAUACAGUACAUUGUGAUAUUUUCAACAUUUUGGUUAUACAGCUUGCAGCAAAAUGGCAGUUCGGGAGUAUCGUGAGCGAAUUGACAUUGCACAGUUGACCAAUGAUGAUCUGUACAAGAGGUAUCGUGUGAACCAUGCCACAUUGGCAUAUAUAAUUGCCCAGCUGGAUGCUGCCUUAGCCCCCAAUACUGACAGGAGCCACAGCCUUUCUACUGGCUACAAGGUCUUGAUCACACUGAGAUUCCCAAAUGUGAUCGGUGUCAUAGAUGGGACUCAUGUACAGAUCCAGGCACCAUCUAUUGAUGAACCCAUGUACGUGAACAGAAUGGGUUACCAUUCCAUCAACACACAGAUGGCCAGGAAGUACCCACGAUAGCAGGAUCCUUAGAGGAAGUGGGCUGUGGCAAGUUUUCGAUAGAAACCUGCUUCCACAGAAUGACCACUUUCUUCUGGGCGAUAGUGGGUAUCCCUGCAAACGCUGGCUGUUGACGCCUUAUGUGAGACCAGCUAAUAACGCUCAGGAAGCGUAUAACAGGGCACACAAGUUGACAAGGAGCAAGGUUGAACGGGGCAUAGGACAGCUGAAACGCAGAUGGGGAAUUCUGCAUGGAGAAGUUAGACUUGCUCCAGAAAAAACGUGCAAGGUGAUCAUUGCAUGUGCAGUUUUGCACAACAUCUGCAAGCUGCAUGGUGUGCCAGAUGUUGAUGAUCUGCCGGAAGAUCCUGUGCGCAAUGACGGGAUUCAUGUUGGUCCAGAAGAUGGACUUCGCUUCCGUGAUAUUAUAUGCGAACAGUAUUUUAGAUUGUAAAUUACGGGGGAUAUAGACAAAACAAGUCUUAAAAAUGUGUGUUCAUUUACAUCUAAUAAAGACAAAACAAGUCUUAAAAAUGUGUGUUCAUUUACAUCUGAUAAAGACAAAACAAGUCUUAAAAAUGUGUGUUCAUUUACAUCUGAUAAAGACAAAACAAGUCUUAAAAAUGUGUGUUCAUUUACAUCUGAUAAAGACAAAACAAGUCUUAAAAAUGUGUGUUCAUUUACAUCUAAUAAAGACAAAACAAGUCUUAAAAAUGUGUGUUCAUUUACAUCUGAUAAACACAAAACAAGUCUUAAAAAUGUGUGUUCAUUUACAUCUGAUAAAGACAAAACAAGUAUAUAAAAUGUGUGCUGAAUGAGACAUAGCUGAUUAAUAUAGGAUUGGUGGCUGGGGAACAUAGCUGAUAUUAUAGGUUUCAGGGCAAGGGAACAUAGCUGAUGUUAUAGGUUUUGGAGCCAGAAAACAUAGCUGAUAAUAUCAGUUUGGGGGUCGGAGGCCAUCGCUGAUGUUAUUGGUUUGGGGGCCGGGGGACAUAGCUGAUAUGAUAUAAAAA